UACAGAGGUCUCAAGCGUUGUUCGGAUUCAUUGGGCGUAAAGCGCGUGUAGGCGGCAGGGCAUGUCGGAUGUGAAAUCCCGUGGCUCAACCACGGAAGUGCACCCGAAACUGCCCAGCUCGAGUCUCGGAGAGGAAGGCGGAAUGCUUGGUGUAGAGGUGAAAUUCGUAGAUAUCAAGCGGAACACCGGUGGCGAAGGCGGGUCUCUGGGCCGAUACUGACGCUGAGGAGCGAAAGCGUGGGGAGCAAACAGG
rnacentral:rRNA from 1 species